rnacentral:lncRNA from 1 species
CUGGAUGCUCAAGAGCAGAGGAUCUAUCAACUGCAGACCAAGCAGAGGCAGAGGCAGGCAGAACCGGAGCAGUAAUGCAGCCAGAUCCAGCAGCUCAGCCAGGAGCUGGAGGCCACCACCAGCUACAGGAGGAAGCUUGGAUGCAGCAUGACUGAGGAAAAUCACAACACCAGCUGCAUAUAAGAAACUCCUGGAAAGAAGAACAAAGCCAACUGUUCUCCAUGUCCAUGAAGGCAUGCACAAGAACUAAUGGGUGUAUCCUACAUCCUGAAAUAUUCAGGUUAGGAACAGCUUCUGAUGGAGAGGAGAACAAAGCAGGCAAACAGACUGCCAGGGGCCUGAGGAUUCUGCAUCACAGGGGAUCUUCAAGGACAGAUAAACAGAAGAAAAGGCACCUGUAGGUUCCCCUAUCAUAGAACUGGAAGAUGAGCCAUCAACCUCUUGAUUCAUGCCAGCCUUGCUCAUUUCCUAAACCCAGCUUUGUUCAUACCCUGAAACUCAUCUGUCUUCUUCAAAGCCCCACCACAGUCUCCUUUAACAUUUAUGUGCUAUCAACACAUCACUUGCCAGGGUGAUUCUAGAAAAGUGACUGUGCUUGAGUCUUGGAUGGAUGCUUGCUUCCUACUGUGGUUCACCUAACCUCCAGGAGACUCAAUGCCUGCUUUGUGUUGUAAAUGGUGUCCCAUCUUGAGAUGCAUUGCCUGUGUUCCUGCGUUGGAUAGUAGUGCUGAUCUGUGGGAAUGUUCUUCCAUCUUUCUUGGAACCUCAUUCUUAUGCGUCUGCAGACUUGUUCACAGGAGACUAGCUGAGGAGCAUGCUCACUGCUGUUUUCCCAGAUGUUCUGAAGCACCACGGCAGCAUCGGAGCAGGUGCUUUGUGAGGAGGCAUGUUAUGAUUGAAGCUGCAAGAAUGUGCACUUAUAUUUACACAGGGUGCACUUACAAGCACACCUGACCUGCAACAGUGACAUCUGAAGGCCUAGCCUGCUCCAUCCCCAUGGUCCCAGCAGGUGGCAUGUCUCCACACGUGAGCAGAAGACAGCAUGGUGCUGUUUCCAGACUGUGCUAAUCCCAUCGUGUGUUUUGAAGAUGAUGUGUUUCCUACUGCCUUUCACCUUGUGACUGCACAGAUCCCUUCUGCUGGAUGGCAAUCUUAAAGGAUGCUGAUGGGAAAUCCCAGGAAGCUGCUCUCUGAUCUAAGUCAUGCUGCUGG